GUAUAUUAUUAAUAUGAGCGUCUUUGCGUUAAAUUCGUGCUACACCACACCAUGCACUUAUAUCGACGUCGCAAUGCAAAAGAAGAAGGGCAAGAAAGAAACCUGUCCUGGUCUGGCGAUUUAAGGGGACAUUUGUUUAAGCCUGUCUAGAUCUUUUAUCAGUCUAGAAAGAUGUUGGAGAAAAGACAUCAUCCUCUUCUAUAAUCUCCAUCUGUAAUUGGACUAACAACUGGACCAGUGAAUGCAGGCAACUUACUCUCCAUUCGACCUUGCAGGUCACACCAUGGUCUCAAGAGGGAAAAUGAGUGCUCUAUGGAUUGAACAGAAAAAGGUGAAUCAAAACUCCAACCAUCUGUAUGAGGGUCUGGAUGGAUAAAGGAUGCCCACUGGAGCUGGAAAUGAUGGAUCAGGUCAUUUUCAUUUGUCACAUUUACAAAGAAGCACACUCUAAGGAUUGCGUUACCCUGUCUGUGGCAAAUACACUAGACAAAAGUAUUGGGAGGCCUCAUUCUAAUAAACAUGUUUAUUUAUUCCAGUAUGUCCAAUCAAAACAAAUAAAAAUGCUAUACCAUAUAAUACCACUACAAAUAAUUUUGAUUUUUGUUGCAACAGUUUUGUAAGUGCCUUUUUCUGUUCCGAAAUGACUACAGCUUCUUGUACAAGUUAUUGAUAGGUUUAGGUGAUGAGUUUUUGGCUAAAAACCUUUGAGUCAUAUCAAAGGUGUUAGCUGAGUUAAGGUCUGGGGUUUAUUCAGACCAGUCAAAGUUCUUCCACACCAGACUGAAUCACUAAUUUUCUGUUUGAACCUUACUUUGUUUGUAGGGUCAUUCUUAAGUUGGUAUUGAAAAGGGCCCUGCCAAAACUCUUGCUAUAAAUUUAGCAUCAAACGGUUUUUCUAGAAUAUCAUAUGCUGUAGCAUUAAGAUUUGUGCUCAUGGAAAUAAGUAAAGUAUUUAAACCUGUUUAUUAGAAGGAGGUGUCGCAAUAGUUAUGUCUAUAUAGUUUAUGUUUAACAAGCCAAAAUAACUAGGGCUGCUUCUUUUUAAGAACUUUUGGGUAUUUUUAAAUCAGCCAGAGGAAUAACAGUCCUUAAAUGUGUAAUGUACUGCCAUAAUUUUGUAAUGAUCAAACGUGAGGUCAGAUUCUUGUUAACCUACUGUGUUCUUUCUUGAUGGUUAGCCGAGUGUCCCAGGACAGAAAAUCUGUUUCGUAUGGAUCAGAGUCAGACAUUAACAUCUAAUAUGUAAUAUCUAGUGAUAUGUUUUCUUAGAUAAUGCUGUGAACAAAUGCUCUUUUACCUUGAAUAUUAGGUGGAUCCACACUUGAACCAUCUGUAUGAUGAUCUGCACCCACUGGAUCUGUAAAUGGUGGUGCAGAAAGACACAGCACAUCAUUAUAUCGUUGGCUCCGCCCACUGGUGUUCAGUCUAAAGUAGUAGUUGUUGACAAUCAUAAAGUUGUAAUAACAGUAAGAUUGUGAUGUCAGACAAACAUUGUGCUGUUGCUGGCUGUGGGAAAUUAGUGUCUUUGUAAGGGUCGCAAAUAAUUUGAAAAUAUUUAUGUUUCUAAAUAUGCCCCCCUACCAUGAACUAAACUGGACUGUUGCAGAGACCAAGUGUAGUAGGGUACACUACUAUGCAGAAUUCUGGCCUGGUGUUUGGUCCCCCUUUCUCUGGCUUGUGUCUCCAUCAUCAUUACACUCUUGUCAGUGUAAAAGUAUCCUCGUCUGCGUACCAGGACUUUGUUACUCAGCUGUCCCUUCUCCUUCAAGCUACAUUUUUGUCAAGCUGCAACAAGUUGGAAUACAUAAUUAUUAACGUUUAAUGAUUUUGAUGUAUGAAAUAUGUAACAAAAGCAAAAAAUGUAUAGACAUUCUAUUAAGAAAUUACCUUUUUGUUGUUUGUUUACUGACCUUUCAACCAUAUUGCAUUUAUAAUUGAUCAUCAUACCUUUGGUCUACUGUUAACAGGCUACUGUAGAAAACAAAGUCAAACAAAAAAGAGAGAAAAAAUUAUAAAUGCUGAAUGUGUCUCAUCUUAAAUACAUUGUUGUUGUUUUUGUUUCAUUGAUUUUGGAUGUUUUGAUGAUUUAAGGAAAAUUUACGUAGCAUAUAUAUUGAUGUUUUAAAUCAGAGUUUGUUAAUGACACUUAAUCAUUAACAAACAUUUAAAAAGCUUUAUUACAAUACUAAUUGAUAAUAUAUAUGUAAUAAUCUUGUUUUGUAACACCCUAAAUCACUGAGCGCACAAACGCUACCCCUGUUACAAGCAUGAGUGAUUGACUUCAGGCACACAUGCGCAGACAUUGAAGUACCGCGAGAGUGAUUCAAAAGCCCACGAAACAGUGUAAUCACGCGGUACUGUGAUGUCAUACUGGUUAAGGCUAAGCCACGUGAAGCCGGACACAAGGGCUUUGGGCUGGAGUAGCCUGUGGCUUUUAAGGCUUCGUGUCUCAUCGCGUUAAACGAUCGCAGAACGAUUUAUUUCUCUUUUUCACCUCGAUCUUUGGCCUCGUGUGAUUUACCAAAACCAACAUGUGAAGUUACAACGCUGACGAAGGAGUUUCAUCAGUAGAGUGUGUCCUGGAAAACGUGUGCUCGGAAACAUGCAGAAUACAGUAUUUACAGAGCCGACCUUGAGGCACCCACUGAUGGAUAAUCUGUUUACCUAAAAACAGCCCACCACAAUCCAUGUUUACCAGCUGUGAAAGUGCAGGCCAAAAAUCUUCCUUCACCUGUGGGCCUCUACCCACAUGUAGAUAAGCAUUUCAGGAGAAACCUGCCUGUGAUCUGCUAAGAUGCACAGAUUCAACUCUGGCCCAUUGUCAUCCCAACACCUCAUCUGCCAUCAGUUUCGUUUAGUGUCGGUCUAUUGCAAAAGUUCUUAUAAACUUUAAAUGAGACUUUGUGUUAAGCAGGGGUUUCCAAACUUUUCAUUCCACAACAUAUUAAGCCCAGGAUACACAGCAGGAUUUUUGCAAUCCAAUAAGACCUUAUCACACUGUGUGACAAGGAUUGUUUAAACUUCAGCAGUAGACUGUCGAUGAAGACACCUAUUGCAUCUGAAGCUGCGACAUCUGUCAUCAACAUGCGCUAGUGGUAAACAAAUACAGGUAUGCAGGUCGUAGAAGCAAACACAUUGUUGAUGUGCGUUGAUCAUGCUGAACUUCUUACACUGUCAUAAAACUAUCGUAGGUGUCUUUGGUCCCAGGACUGGGAAAACAGACGUCUUUAAACCUCUCACACUGUAUGAGAUAGGACCACCAAUUAAGAGCCACGAUCACAGAAAUCUCCACAAUUGUUUCACGAUUGGUAAUCUUUCAUCUGGGACAGCCAAAAAUCGUGCCGUGUAUUAUGGGCUUUAGACAGGUGUAAUCUUAUAGUAUAUCAAAACCAUUGCUAAUAAUUAAUUGGACAAACCAUCACUACAAUGCAACACUCACUAUCUUACGGUGCGACCCACAAGUGGGUCUUCACCCACAGUUUAAAAACCCUGAGUAUGAGAAAGAGUAUGUUGUAUUGUAAUUAAAGUCACAUCUAAGUGUUAUGGAACAGUUUGUCAUUAUAUUCAAAGUAUUACAUGGUUCUUUCAGCAGUUACUACGUUACAGUGCUCUUAAAGUGUCCUGAUCAGCUUUGGGUCUUGUGAAGUAAUAUAAUGAGAACGUGAUCAAUAGCUUUGCAGUAUUUUGUUACACUGUGGCUGUAAUCAUAUUAACACAUAGGUUAAACAUUUUAUUCAAAUUUGGUAAACAAACUAGUCAAUAUAAUUCAUGCUGUGAUGCUGGAUUAAACCUGGUCAAAUGAUUGUGUAUUGUGUUUUCAAUUUUUUAUGAGGUUUCUUCAUCUAUAUAAACAUUCUCAAUAUCA